rnacentral:rRNA from 1 species
UACGUAGGGUGCGAGCGUUAAUCGGAAUUACUGGGCGUAAAGCGUGCGCAGGCGGUGAUGUAAGACCGAUGUGAAAUCCCCGGGCUUAACCUGGGAACUGCAUUGGUGACUGCGUCGCUCGAGUAUGGCAGAGGGGGGUAGAAUUCCACGUGUAGCAGUGAAAUGCGUAGAGAUGUGGAGGAAUACCGAUGGCGAAGGCAGCCCCCUGGGUCAAUACUGACGCUCAUGCACGAAAGCGUGGGGAGCAAACAGG